UGGGGAAUAUUGGACAAUGGGGGCAACCCUGAUCCAGCCAUGCCGCGUGCGUGAAGAAGGCCUUAGGGUUGUAAAGCGCUUUCAGCGGGGAAGAUAAUGACGGUACCCGCAGAAGAAGCCCCGGCUAACUCUGUGCCAGCAGCCGCGGUAAUACAGAGGGGGCAAGCGUUGUCCGGACUUACUGGGCGUAAAGCGCACGCAGGUGGUAACGCAAGUGGGGUGUGAAAGCCGCCAGCUCAACUGGCGGAGGCCAUCCCAAACUGCGUCACUUGAGGCCUGUAGAGGUAUGUGGAAUUGCCGGUGUAGUGGUGAAAUGCGUAGAGAUCGGCAGGAACACCCAGGGGGAAGCCAGCAUACUGGACAGGUCCUGACACUCAGGUGCGACAGCGUGGGGAGCGAACCGGAUUAGAUACCCGUGUAGUCC
rnacentral:rRNA from 1 species